rnacentral:lncRNA from 10 species
CAGACCCCAAGAGAGGCUUGUUGAAUGUCACACAAGAAAGAAUUCGGGGCGAGUCCACAGUGCAAAGCAAAAGCAAGUUUAUUAACAGAGUAAAGUGGUGAAAGUACAGCUACUCCAUAGACAGAGCAGGGCGUUCCCGAAAGCUAGAGGAGGAACGCAUCCACCGAUACAACAAAGCUUUAAAGCACGAAAAAGAUGAACUCGAAACACCAGUGACUGGAGGAACCAUGACAACACAAACAAGAAGGAAACAAGAAAGAAAAAGCAUAAUCCUGGUUUUUGUGUUCUGAAUUGUGGAUUUGAAAUGGAGGCUCCCGUGGCUGCUGACAGCCUGCCUUGAUGCUGCUGAUGUCUGGGUGAUGAACAGUCAUGGGUUUCCUCCCACCUGCCUCUGUGGAUUAAUGAAGAGCAAGGCAGGAAUGGCAGACCUGCCAUCUGGAAUGACCUUACCUGAUAAGAUUGUUCUGCCUUCCCCGCCAAAGGAGCCCACUCCAUUAUGAAAAAGAACUUCAAGCAAAUUUGAAUCUUUCUUCACUGAGUUCUAACAUACUCCAGACCUGUAUUGUGGAAGCUCUUCC